UACGGAGGGGGCUAGCGUUGUUCGGAAUUACUGGGCGUAAAGCGCACGUAGGCGGCUUUGUAAGUUAGAGGUGAAAGCCCGGGGCUCAACUCCGGAAUUGCCUUUAAGACUGCAUCGCUAGAACGUCGGAGAGGUAAGUGGAAUUCCGAGUGUAGAGGUGAAAUUCGUAGAUAUUCGGAAGAACACCAGUGGCGAAGGCGGCUAACUGGUCCAGCACUGACGCUGAGGUGCGAAAGCGUGGGGAGCAAACAGG
rnacentral:rRNA from 1 species